UAAUAAUAACAAUAGUGAUGAUGAUGAUGAUGAUGAUGAUGAUGAUCAUCAUGAUCAUCAUCAUCAUCAUCAUCAUCAUCAUCAUCAUCAUCAUGU
rnacentral:pre_miRNA from 1 species